GAGAGCAGAGAGGGUGAGCAGGAGGCUUGGAGGGGGAAAGGGUGUACUGUUCAGGAAAGAUUGCUCUAGGGCGUAAGUUGAGGCAGGAGGUAAAUCUGCUCUCUAUAUGUUACUGACCAUUGAAGCAGGUCAGUAACAAAAAAUCCAUGAGAGGCACCCAAACCCCAAGGUGGAGAACGAAAAUAAGGAAAGAACUACAACUGUUUAUUUCACUGAGAGCAAAGGGGGUGGAACAACAAUAUUUGGGUAAAAGAGGCACAGGAAAAUGGCUGGCCUAGUUUAUUAACAACAACAGUAAAACAGAGGGGUCUAGUGGAUAACAAGGCAGCUGAGGUCAUUAAUAACUAACUUUGUCCACAAGAGCCCCAGACGCACCAGCAUGCAGCUAGGCUACAAAGGGCACUCUCACCUUAACAAGCACAACAACAACAACAACAACAACAGCUGCUGCUACUGAUGCUGAUGCUAAUGCUACUGCUGCUACUGAUGCUGAUGCUAAUGCUACUGCUACUACAGCAGCCAAUGGAGGGGGCUGGCCUUUGGGGGUAGGCUUCAGGGGUAGAACAGAGGGCUGAGACAAGUUAUGCUGCUGCUUUAAGAACUUCUUUGUUUACUUGCUAGACUGUAUGCAGGUUUCCUGCCAGCUCUUUGACCCUGGGGAGCAGUACCAAGCCCGCGCAGGACCUUACCUUGCUUCUCUGGAAUGUCAGACACCAAGGCCGUGUUAAUACACAGUGGAAGGCAGAGCAUGUGAAGAUAUGGUAGAUGUGAUAAUGAACUCCAUCACACUCUAGAGAAUGCAGACUCAUGAGGUUAUGAAGGAGCAAUGCAGCCCCAUCAGAGUAAGACCGCAACAGAAUAAGGAGGAAAAGUUGAAUAAGUACUAGACAGAACAUGUUUAUAUUGAUACCCAAGAGUGACUACAGUACUGUACUGACUGCAUAUCCUGCAAUUUAAGCGCAUUUAGCUUAUUAACCCACACAAUUUCCUUCAUCUUCUUUGCAACAUGCUUUUCACUUUAAGCCUUGUAUUUUGACAUGUUUACACAUCAGAGGCACAGAGUAGCCAUGUGACAGGACGCAUAUGUACAGAACUGACAAUGGGCUUGGAUGAAAGUCAGCCAUGCUACGGAACAGCCUCACAGACAAUGCCAUAAAUAACAGCUGCGACUCCAAAUAUGCAGGAACCUCUUCCUUUUCUUGUUACCCUGUUUUGUUGUGGAUAUCUCCCUGUCAGUGUAAACAUACCUGGAGUCAGUAUGGGACAGGGCCACUUUCAACUAAUUUUAUCACUGUAUACCAGGAAGCCAGGCAAGGUAAAGUGAAUUUAUACAAAACCAGCGAGUCAUCACAGCCAAGGAAAGCAAAUCUGUUUUCUAAAGUGUAUAUUAAGAUGAUAAUAAAAUGUGGU